ACUCAAAGGAAUAGACGGGGGCCCGCACAAGCGGUGGAGCAUGUGGCUUAAUUCGAGGCAACGCGAAGAACCUUACCUAGAUUUGACAUAUACCGGACCGGUGUAGAAAUACACUUUCCCGCAAGGGUCGGUAUACAGGUGCUGCAUGGCUGUCGUCAGCUCGUGCCGUGAGGUGUUCGGUUAAGUCCGGCAACGAGCGCAACCCGUGUCAUUAGUUACCAUCAGGCAAUGCUGGGGACUCUAAUGAGACUGCCUGUGUUAAGCAGGAGGAAGGCGCGGAUGACGUCAAGUCCGUAUGGCCUUUAUAUUUAGGGCUGCACACGUGCUACAAUGGCUGGUACAGAGGGAAGCAAGAUCGCGAGAUGGAGCUGAUCCGUAAAGCCAGCCUUAGUUCAGAUUGCAGUCUGCAACUCGACUGCAUGAAGCCGGAAUCGCUAGUAAAGGCGUAUCAGCUACGACGCCUUGAAUACGUUCCCGGGCCUUGCACACACCGCCCGU
rnacentral:rRNA from 1 species